rnacentral:lncRNA from 1 species
CCCUAGAUCUGCCUGCCUCCUCGAUGGCAGCCUUGCGGCUACGGCUCUUGCAGGCCAGAGUCUUCUUUCUCCUCCUCCUCGCACCCUCGAGUGCCCCCUCGGGAUGAGCCUCUGGAGCGGGAUCCACGGUCGGGAGACUCAUCGAAAGGGCUCGGGGGGCUUCGGGCUCGACGUCAGAAGGGACGGCGACGGCAACGACCAUCUGAGCAGGUGUGGUCGAGC